CGCAAAGGAUAUAUGUGGGUUAGGAACCUGAGACUAGUUCUGCGUAUCCUAUAAUGCAGCAUCUGCAUACCAUAGUAUUGGUGAGAUCAACACACUUUGCGUGGAAAUUGUGAUCCCUCACUUCAGACAUGCAUGAAAGGCCCUAGAUCAUGCCCUGGUGAUGCCUGCCAUGGUUUCCAGCACGGGCCCUCAACCACACAAGCUCUAAGACUGCACCAGCAACGUUGACCAGAGCUUGUUCUUUCAACUAUCUAUAUGGGCAUCAUCCUUACCUCCACCUCUCCACCGGCAUGUCCACCUCUCCAUCUACACGUCCACCUCUCCGUCCGCGCGUGUGUCACCUCUCCAUCCACACAUCCAUCUUUCCACAUGUCCAGGAAACUGUUGCCCUGGGGGCCAGAAAAGUGUAGUUUGUAGCCCUCCACACUAGACGCACACUUUUGCUGUCUCCACCUUGCUAGUGUGGUGGGCCACGGUGACCCACUCUGGUUGGUCGGUCAGCACACAGUGCGGCGACCGCAGCUCCGUGGUAGACGGUGCACUGGGACCCAGCAAGGCUGGCCGUCCCUCUGGCGGGGUGGUCAGAGCCGCUUCCUGGAAGGCGGAUUUCAGCCGAAGUGCUAAUGUCGCCAGGACUUCCUGGCCGCGGACCUGCAGAAGGAGCUCCCAGAACAGUGCAGGCCACGGGGCUUUAAUGCUGCUCCUCCUUCUGCGUCCCAUUUUACAAAAUAACAUUAAUAGUAGGUUGAUCACAGUUAAUUGUUGUUUUGUAGAUUGAAAGCAUUUGGAGAUUGACAAUUUAAUAAAGUUUAUAUUGUUCCAGCUAAGCAUAAAAACUUAAAAAUUUAUAAAGCGCCUUCUAAAACAGUCACUUUGCUUCAAACAUUUCAAUCCUCAAACCCGCCACGUGACUAAGUUAGGGCCGGUAUCCUUCUCCCGGCCUCAGGUGAGGAAACUGCCUGCGCCAGGUUCUCUGGGCCGCGCGGAGCCGGGGCUGACACAGCUGCGGGGCUGGGGUUUCCGAUCCCAGCGCAGAGCGUCUCCCGCUGCUCCUGCGGGCGUGAGGCUCCCGGGAUGCCCCUCCCUGAAGUGGGUCGGGACCCGCAUCGGGAUCCGGGCAGCCAGGCCUCGCAAAAGGCCCUGGGCCCGGGUCUGCUGCUCCGGCCUGACCCCUCAGAACCGCCCGAGGCUAGCGCGCCGGGAACCCCGGCCUCAGCCCCUCGCUCCCGCCGCCCUCUGUCUGGAGCUGCCGGGCCGCUCCGCCCCGCACGUGGAUCCCGGCGGCCGCCCUAGGUGGGGCCUCUUGGCCGGGCCGUCUCCAGCGCCCGCCCUCCCGUGCGUCCCAGCUCGGUGGUGAGCGGCGUUUCCCGCCUUUGUCUUCCACCCCCUCCCAGCUCUGCCGUGGGAGGUGGCGCCCUUCUCCGGCUCUCCUCAGGCCGCGUUCGCGCCUCACGGGAGGUCUCGCCAGCCGGGCAAUGCUCGGCGCCGCUUCCCGCGCGGGCUGAGGAGAGAUGGCGCAGAGGCGCUGGGAACCCACGGGCUUCUGAGGAGCGCAGCGGGCACGACGACGGAGCGGAGUCCUGAGGCCACAGCUGAGGAAAGGGUCAAGCUCAGGCUCCCAGGCGGUGGCCGAGGGGACCCCGGGUGGGGCGGAGGCGCAUCCUGGGAGGCGCUCGGGGAGGGUGCUAUGGAGGCCGCCCGAGGCCGCCCCAGGCCGCAGGAAACAGGCGGGCGCGUCCUUCCCGCCUCAGCUACAGGCCUGUGGGGCCGCCUUCCGGGCGCCGCAGCCGCCUGGGCUGUGUGGUUCCAUCUUGCAGAUGGGAUCAGAUGGCCCUGGAGGUGGGGUCCCCCGGGUGUGCGCCCCAGACGUGCAAGCGCCUCCCCACGCCCCAUCAAUAAGGGUCACAGCCCCCUCCCCAGACCUGGCGGGGCCUCCCAGCCCUUCACGCAGCGCUGACGGGGCCUCUGCCCACCGGCCACCCUGGUCUCAAGACGGAGCCCACGUCUCCUGCUUGGGCUGGAUGAGUGACCCUUCCCUGCGGCCAUGAACAGGGAGCUUUAAACGUGUUGAGGUUGGACCCUGCCCAGCCCGGCUGAACCCCACUCUGUAGGAGGCGCAGGCAUCAGACGCCGGGGACGUCAUGGUGGAGGAGACUACCCGUGAGCCCGGUGACGUCACGGUGGAGACCACCCGCGAGGCUGGUGACGUCACAGUGCAGGAGACCACCGCGAACCUGGUGACGUCACGGUGGGGGAGACCACCCCGAGCCCUGUGACGUCACGGUGGAGGAGACCACCCUGAGCCUGGUGACGUCACGGGUGGAGGAGACCGCCCCGAGCCCUGUGACUUCACGGUGGAGGAGACCACCCUGAGCCCGGUGACGUCACGGGUGGAGGAGACCGCCCCGAGCCCUGUGACUUCACGGUGGAGGAGUCCACCCCGAGCCUGGUGACAUCAUGGUGGAGGAGACCGCCCCUGAGCCCGGGUGCCCCUGAUCCCAGGCACUGGAUGGGAUCCCCGGGGGCCAUGUUUUAAAAUCAGUUUAUUUGCUCUCUCAUCUAUAAAUUAUUUUUUAAUUGCAAUAAGACCGCCUACUCAAAAAGAGUUCUGGAGACAGAUGAUGGUGGUGUCUGCAUGUAGGAAUGUAUUUAAUGCCACUGAACUGAACACUUAAAAAUGGUUAAGACGGCACACUUUUUGUUACCUGUAUUUACCACAAUAAAAAAUUGGGAGAAAAAGUAAACACUGACCUUUCAAACACACUAGCUGGUCCUGAGGAUGUGCGUUUUGUGUUAGUGAGGCAUAAAGGAACCUCAGAGCGUUGGCCAAAAGAUGUGGCCAUUAAUAAACUAUGAUUUGGGGUAAAUGUCUGAGCCUCAUUUUUUCAACUGUAUAAGGGAGAUUAAAAAUAACAUAGUCCUCUGUGAUGUGGGGGCAAAUAACAAAUGUUUGCUUUGGUAACUGCAAAUUGUGAAUAAAUGUCACUGUAUAGUUAAAAAACAACAGCAGCUCAUCUGGUCAGCACAGCACCACCAGCCUCCCUCAUGGCAGAAACCCAACAUCUGGUCAGCAUAGCACCGCUAGCCUCCUUCAUGGCAGAAACCCAACUCUGGUGUAGCGUCAGCACUGAACAACAGAUGGAACAUUAGCCCAGGACACAUAGCGGAUCCUGAAGACAGGCAUUUGCUCGUGGGUUGAAUUUGGAGAAGCACAACACAUUCAGAGGGUAACUGUUCCUGAUCUUCAAGGUCGUCCAUUAAUAAGUGUUCAAAGUUGGUUUGUUCUCCAGUUUUCGACGUAUCUGUGUGUACAGUGAAGUGUCAAGAACUCCAGCCUCCACCGAUUCGAGACCACUUGUCCUCUGUACAAAUACUUAGCCUGGCAGCAGAGCGAAGAAGAGACUGCAGGGCAUGUUUGUUCUCUGCAGAUGCUGGCACCACCCACGAAAGGCAAACAACUGUGUCUGUGGAGCUGGAUCCCCUCUGGUCACAGGGAACAGCCAGACUUCCUGGGACAGGGGUCAGAAGGCGGGAGACAGGCAGGGGCAGCCAGUGAGGAAGGAACCAGGACGAGGUCCCAGUAGACGCCCGGGAGGAGACAGCCCAAGCGGAGGAGAGGCCUGGAAGCAGGCGGGCGCCCUGAGCCUUCAUGUCCCCUUUGCUGGGGUUUGCCUCAAUCAAUACUUUUUGGACAAGACCUGGAUUGAGACAGAAAGUUGAUAUUAUACAAACUAAGAGUACCCAAGCACGCGACAGGAAGGAAAGUUUACUGGGAGGAUCAGAUCCCUGUUUAAGGGAAGAGGCCGUGGAGUUGUCCUCGAUCCCAGGAGAAGACAGUCACACACUGUGCUUCUAAGAAAGAACUGGUCCCACCAUAGGCGUGUGGCUGCCACAGAUCCACGUCCAAGCAGAAGUCACAGCUGUUCAGAAAAGAAAGGCAAAAGGAAGAAAGACAUCUCUGUUUGAAAAGUGUAAACCAAAAACAAAACUCUGAGGCCCUCCAGUCAUCUGAAUGGACUUCCUCCUCAGCCAGGGCUCUUAAAAUGUAACCUGAGAGGUGGGUUCAGGCCAUGACGGGAAGCGGGGGUCACACACGUCUCAUUGUACCCCUCACUAACAGCAGCACAGACUUUGACAACAACAUUUUGCACCCUAUUCUGUCUGCAGCCUCCUAGCUAAAGCUUCAUCUGCAUGACAAAACCUUGCUCUCCACACCGUUAUCUUAACCCAGACGUUCCUUUCUGCUGCAUCUCAGGUCUUUGGACAAACUCAACCCAUUGUCAACCAGAAAACCUUUAAAUUUACCUGACACCUGGAAGCCUCCCCUCCCUGCCAGCUUUGCGUUGUCCACCUUUCUGGACCAAGCCACUCACCAAUGUACUUCUCAAAUGUCUUGGAUUGGUGUCUUAUGGCUCCCUAAAGUGUAUAAAUCCAAGCUGUCCCCCGACCACCUUGGCACAUGUUCUCAGGACCUCCAGAGGGCUGUGUCACAGGCCAUGGUCACUCAUAUCUGGCUCAGAAUAAAUCUCUUC
rnacentral:lncRNA from 1 species